rnacentral:rRNA from 1 species
UACGUAGGGUGCAAGCGUUGUCCGGAUUUAUUGGGUUUAAAGGGUGCGUAGGCGGCUGAUUAAGUCGUGGGUGAAAUGCCAACGCUCAACGUUGGAGGUGCCUGCGAUACUGGUUAGCUUGAGUGCAGUUGAGGCAACUGGAAUUGGUGGUGUAGCGGUGAAAUGCAUAGAUACCACCAGGAACACCGAUUGCGAAGGCAGGUUGCUAAGCUGCAACUGACGCUGAGGCACGAAAGCGUGGGGAUCAAACAGG